rnacentral:tRNA from 1 species
CCGCCGGUGGUCGGCGGAGCGAGUCAGCCGGAGCCGCGGGCUCGGGCGGUGGACCGGCUCGGGUUCCGUUCUCGGCUGGUGGACC